CGACGUUCUCAGGGCGGGGUGAAACUCCCCACCGGCGGUGUCCGAGGCUUCGGCCGAGGGAGCCCGCGAGCGCCUGCUGGCUCAUGCUGGCAGGGUCAGCAGACAUGGAAGGCGAUGCCCGCGCAAAGCCGAAGCCAUGGCCGACGGUCACAGUCCGGAUGAAAGAGACACGCAA
rnacentral:ncRNA from 2 species